CUUGUACUUCCCGUCGAUACCGCCGUGCCGUUUCGGUAUUCAAACGAGAACGGUUGUACAUUAUUAUUUGUUAUUGUAAGUAUAUUAUAUAGUGUACGUGAUUUCGGAAACGAGAUAAAAUUGUACGAAAGAAUAUGCAGGUAUCUACGUGGUUUCGCCUGUACGCGCUAAUGGAAUUUUCGGCUCGAAUAGUGGAUAUCGU